rnacentral:misc_RNA from 1 species
UCACGUCUUACGACGGCAGUUUCACUAGAGUGCCCGGCAUUACUCACUGGCAACUAGUGACAAGGGUUGCGCUCGUUGCGGGACUUAACCCAACAUCUCACGACACGAGCUGACGACAGCCAUGCAGCACCUGUGCACGGACCCCGAAGGGAGGGUGUGUUUCCACACCUGUCCCGUGCAUGUCAAACCCCGGUAAGGUUCUUCGCGUUGCGUCGAAUUAAACCACAUGCUCCACCGCUUGUGCGGGCCCCCGUCAAUUCCUUUGAGUUUCAACCUUGCGGUCGUACUCCCCAGGCGGAACACUUAAUGCGUUAGCUACGGCGCGGAAGGGGUCGAUACCUCCCACACCUAAUGAGCAUCGUUUAGGGCUAGGACUAC